AUUUUUAUAAGUAAAAUCUGCUCCAUGUAACAUAAAUAGCCGCAGAAUAACUGUGCUAAGGUAGCAUAAUCAUUAGUCUUCUAAUUUAAGACUAGAAUGAAAGAUUUAACAUUUUAAUUUAUUUUUUUUAUUUUAUAAACUUAAAUUUAAUUAAGAAUAAAAAUGUUCUUAUUUCUAAAAAAGACGACAAGACCCUAUUGAACUUUACUUAUGUUAAGCUGGGGAAGCUAUUUAAAUAUAAUUUUAAUAUAAUUUUAUAAAUAAGUAUUCCAAUAAAAUUGAUUUAACAAGUUACCAUAGGGAUAACAGCGUAAUAAUUUUAAAAAGUUCUUAUUUAAAAAAAAGAUUACGACCUCGAUGUUGAAUUAAUUAAUCUAUAAAGCGAAACCGUUUAAAAGAAGGUCUGU
rnacentral:rRNA from 1 species